rnacentral:snRNA from 1 species
AUACUUACCUGGAUGGGGUCUAUGGCAGAUCAAGAAGGGUCAUGGCCUAGGCAAGUGGUCCACAUUGCACUUGGUGGAUGCACUUGCUUACCAUCUCCCCAAGUGGGAGAAUGGACAUCAUAAUUGC